rnacentral:rRNA from 1 species
CCUACGGGAGGCAGCAGUGGGGAAUAUUGGGCAAUGGGCGAAAGCCUGACCCAGCAACGCCGCGUGAAGGAAGAAGGCUUUCGGGUUGUAAACUUCUUUUGACAGGGAAGAGCAGAAGACGGUACCUGUCGAAUAAGCCACGGCUAACUACGUGCCAGCAGCCGCGGUAAUACGUAGGUGGCAAGCUUUGUCCGGAUUUACUGGGUGUAAAGGGAGCGUAGACGGCAGUGCAAGGCUGGAGUGAAAGGCGGGGGCGCAACCCCCGAACUGCUCUGGAAACUGUACGGCUGGAGUGCAGGAGAGGUAAGUGGAAUUCCUAGUGUAGCGGUGAAAUGCGUAGAUAUCAGGAGGAACACCAGUGGCGAAGGCGGCUUACUGGACUGUAACUGACGUUGAGGCUCGAAAGCGUGGGGAGCAAACAGGAUUAGAUACCCCAGUAGUC